rnacentral:rRNA from 1 species
AUAAAAAACCAAUGCCCUUCGGGGCUCCUUGGUGAUUCAUAAUAACUUAACGAAUCGCAUGGCCUUGCGCCGGCGAUGGUUCAUUCAAAUUUCUGCCCUAUCAACUUUCGAUGGUAGGAUAGUGGCCUACCAUGGUGGCAACGGGUAACGGGGAAUUAGGGUUCGAUUCCGGAGAGGGAGCCUGAGAAACGGCUACCGCAUCCAAGGAAGGCAGCAGGCGCGCAAAUUACCCAAUCCCGACACGGGGAGGUAGUGACAAUAAAUACUGAUACGGGGCUCUUUCGGGUCUCGUAAUUGGAAUGAGUACAAUCUAAAUCCCUUAACGAGGAACAAUUGGAGGGCAAGUCUGGUGCCAGCAGCCGCGGUAAUUCCAGCUCCAAUAGCGUAUAUUAAAGUUGUUGCAGUUAAAAAGCUCGUAGUUGAACCUUGGGUCUGGCUGGCCGGUCCGCCUCACCGCGAGUACUGGUCCGGCUGGACCUUUCCUUCUGGGGAAUCCCAUGGCCUUCACUGGCUGUGGG